GAUGAACGCUAGCGGCAGGCUUAACACAUGCAAGUCGAGGGGCAGCAUAAUGAAGUAGCAAUACGGAAUUGAUGGCGACCGGCGCACGGGUGCGUAACGCGUAUGUAACCUACCCUUAACAGGGGGAUAACACUGAGAAAUUGGUACUAAUACCCCAUAACACUUCGGAGGGCAUCCUCUGUAGUUGAAAGUUCCGGCGGUUAAGGAUGGACAUGCGUUGUAUUAGCUAGAUGGUGAGGUAACGGCUCACCAUGGCGACGAUACAUAGGGGGACUGAGAGGUUAACCCCCCACACUGGUACUGAGACACGGACCAAACUCCUACGGGAGCAGCAGUGAGGAAUAUUGGACAAUGGAUGGAAAUCUGAUCCAGCCAUGCCGCGUGCAGGAUGACGGCCCUAUGGGUCUUAAACUGCUUUUGUACGGGAGCAAUAAGUACUACGUGUAGUAUGAUGAGAGUACCGUACGAAUAAGCAUCGGCUAACUCCGUG
rnacentral:rRNA from 1 species